rnacentral:lncRNA from 1 species
CUGGGAGGCAGAGACCCUGUCUUCAGGUGUUGGCUGAAAGAAAUGGUAACUUAUUUUAGCAGCCUUGAGCUUUCUCAUGCGGGCACAUGAAGAGGACUAGUGUCAUCUUAGGGAAUGCGGCCUCGCACCAUUGGAAACAAUGAUUCUAAAGACCAUUUCCACAUGGAGAAGCUGCCAGAACAAGCACUGCUACCCUUGGAGGCCAUUGACAUUGUGAGGUCGCUGGGACUGAAAGGAGGUUGACCAGAAGUUCUGUUUGGCAAUGCAAAGCCAGGAGGAAAAGUUAAUGGAGUUUGUCCCCCGGGUCCCAAGAAAGCUGACCCAGGACGAUGAAGCUAGAAUUUGUGUUCUAGGAGGUGCUGCUUCUUCCAGGAAAGUCUACUCAAAGCACACACUGUGAGCUGCUGCAUGUCUCUUGAGCUAGUUCACUGCAGUUUUCAUGAUGAAAGUGAUCUGUUUCAGUAAACUUUCUGUUAUUUGA